UCUCUUUUCCUUCAGGUUUUGCCACUUUG
rnacentral:piRNA from 2 species